rnacentral:rRNA from 1 species
GAUGAACGCUGGCGGCGUGCCUAAUACAUGCAAGUCGAGCGAACAGACGAGGAUCUUGCUCCUCUUCCGUUAGCGGCGGGCGGGUGAGUAACACGUGGAUAACCGACCUAUAAGACUGGGGUCACUUCGGGAACCCGGAGCUAACACCGGAUCAUAUAUUGAACCGCAGGGUUCAUUAGUGCACGACGGUUUUGCUGUCACUUAUAGAUGGAACCGCGCCGGAUUAGCUAGUUGGUACGGUAACGGCUUACCAAGGCGACGAUGCGUAGCCGACCUGAGAGGAUGAUCGGCCACACUGGAACUGAGACACGGUCCAGACUCCUACGGGAGGCAGCAGUGGGGAAUCUUCCACAAUGGGCGAAAGCCUGACGGAGCAACGCCGCGUGUGUGAUGAAGGUCUUCGGAUCGUAAAGCACUUUUAGUAGGGAGGAACAGAUGUGUGUUUAUCUAUUGACGUCUUGACAGUACCUAAAGAAAAAGCCCCGGCUAACUACGUG